GGGGAUAACGUUUGGAAACGAACGCUAAUACCGCAUGAUAUUAUUGGGCAGCAUUGCCUGAUAAUCAAAGGAGCAAUCCGCUGAAAGAUGGGCUCGCGUCCGAUUAGGUAGUUGGCGGGGUAACGGCCCACCAAGCCGACGAUCGGUAGCUGGACUGAGAGGUUGAACGGCCACAUUGGGACUGAGACACGGCCCAGACUCCUACGGGAGGCAGCAGUGAGGGAUAUUGGUCAAUGGGGGAAACCCUGAACCAGCAACGCCGCGUGAGGGAAGACGGUUUUCGGAUUGUAAACCUCUGUCCUCUGUGAAGAUGAUGACGGUAGCAGAGGAGGAAGCUCCGGCUAACUACGUGCCAGCAGCCGCGGUAAUACGUAGGGAGCAAGCGUUGUCCGGAUUUACUGGGUGUAAAGGGUGCGUAGGCGGCUUUGCAAGUCAGAAGUGAAAUCUAUGGGCUUAACCCAUAAACUGCUUUUGAAACUGCAGGGCUUGAGUGAAGUAGAGGUAGGCGGAAUUCCCGGUGUAGCGGUGAAAUGCGUAGAGAUCGGGAGGAACACCAGUGGCGAAGGCGGCCUACUGGGCUUUAACUGACGCUGAGGCACGAAAGCGUGGGUAGCAAACAGGAUUAGAUACCCUGGUAGUCCACGCUGUAAACGAUGAUUACUAGGUGUGGGUGGACUGACCCCAUCCGUGCCGGAG
rnacentral:rRNA from 1 species